GAUGAAGAACGCAGCGAAAUGCGAUAAGUAAUGUGAAUUGCAGAAUUCAGUGAAUCAUCGAAUCUUUGAACGCACAUUGCGCCCGCUAGUAUUCUGGCGGGCAUGCCUGUCCGAGCGUCAUUUCAACCCUCAAGCCCCCGGGCUUGGUGUUGGGGUUCGGCGAGCCUCCGCGCCCGCCGUCCCCUAAAUCUAGUGGCGGUCUCGCUGUAGCUUCCUCUGCGUAGUAGCACACCUCGCACUGGGAAACAGCGCGGCCACGCCGUUAAACCCCCAACUUCUGAACGUUUGACCUCGGAUCAGGUAGGAAUACCCGCUGAACUUAAGCAUAUCAAUAAGCGGAGGA
rnacentral:misc_RNA from 1 species